rnacentral:rRNA from 1 species
CAGUCGCCGCGGUAAUACGUAUGUCACAAGCGUUAUCCGGAUUUAUUGGGCGUAAAGCGCGUCUAGGUGGUUAUGUAAGUCUGAUGUGAAAAUGCAGGGCUCAACUCUGUAUUGCGUUGGAAACUGUGUAACUAGAGUACUGGAGAGGUAAGCGGAACUACAAGUGUAGAGGUGAAAUUCGUAGAUAUUUGUAGGAAUGCCGAUGGGGAAGCCAGCUUACUGGACAGAUACUGACGCUAAAGCGCGAAAGCGUGGGUAGCAAACAGGAUUAGAUACCCGUGUAGUCCCUGUCUCUUAUACA